rnacentral:rRNA from 1 species
AUAGUGUAUAUUAAAGUUGCUGCAGUUAAAAAGCUCGUAGUUGGAUUUCGGAUUAAUGGGAGUUAAGGUCCAUCAAUUUGAUGUGUACCUUAUUCUCGUUUCCUUCCUUUUGAAUACACUCCCUGAAAUUUUUUUUUGGGGAUCAAAGUGUUUCAAAUCUUUUACUGUGAAGAAAUUAGAGUGUUCAAAGCAGGCGUAAUCUAGCCUUUGAAUAUAUUAGCAUGGGAUAAUGAAAUAGGACUUUAGUUCUACUUUCGUUGGUUUCUAGGGCUAAAGUAAUGAUUAAUAGGGAUAGUUGGGGUCACUAGUAUUUAAUUGUCAGAGGUGAAAUUCUAAGAUUUAUUAAAGACUAACUACUG